rnacentral:lncRNA from 1 species
ACAAUGCGUUCUCCUUUCUUCCUCUCCACUAAUCUGUACUUCUAAGAGGUGUUGAGUUUCGGCCAAACUUUCUGCUCGGCUCGCAUCAAAGGCUGCCCUCUUGUGAAUAGCCAGCUCUCACCUAAUGAUCUCCCUACUCACUCCUGACCAGGACGCAGGUCAUUCCCCAUAAUAAUUAGCUCACAGGCAGAGUUUCCAGGCGCUUCCAGGAGCAUCAAUCACCGGGAUGAAUGGGAAGCCCGUGUGUGGGAACUGCAGGGGGAGCUGGGUGCAGAGCCACCUCAGCCCUGUCACCCUGCGCGUGUCUCUGCCAUGCUUCCUUGGAUCCCUAUCUACCCCGUUUUGGGUGACAGGACGAGUUGGGCCAGUUACCAGGAUCUUGUCGCCUGGUUCUGAUGGUGUCUUGGUUCCCGGCUGGGGUUUUGUGUUUACCACGAGCGUUGCCUGCUGUCGGGGAGCUGCGUGUGUUUCACAACAAACAGGGAGCCAGGGAGACCACCCUGCGGGGCUGCCCCUUCCCUCAGCGCUUUCUGCUUGGGUCGCUGGCGUCUUGCAGUGCCUUCGUUCGUCUGUGGUGUGAGGUGCUGGUCCAGGCUUACGCGCUAACAGUGAAUUAGAAGGAGAAAACGCUCUGCGAGUGCAGCGGAAGGGAGGACCCUGUGGCUGGAGAAAUCCCGCCGCGAACACCCAGCGACCAGGUCUACAGCAGCACCAGGUCUGUGCUUCCCCCUGGUGGUCACAGAUUUUACUACACGCGGCCCACAAGUAAAAUGAGUUUCUCUUCAGUGGCCCGGUUAUCUUCUGUCGUGUAGGAGGAAGUCCAGAGCCACGGAAAUUCGGUAAGGAUCGGAUAAGGGCAAUAAAAUCGCAGCUCUAAAUCUUUUCAUGGAGUUGAAGACAGACGUUUGACUGUGGGAGCCAUCUCAUCUUUAUAACCUGCCUGAGUCGAAGCUGUUAAAGAGGCCAAGAAUUCCCAAGCUUUCCCAGGCAAACGGGGAAGAACACUGGGAUGCCUUUUCCUCCUCCUCUGUCCAUCUGCAGGCCAAGUGUGCAUCAGUCACAGGCAAACUCUGAAUUGAGCUUUGUGCAAGUCUCUGGAAAGAGACCCAAGAUCGUGUGAUGAGCAAAAGUGACAGUGCUGGAGGCAGCGACAUCUGCAGAGCCAGCCCCAUCCCUAUCUGCAGCAGAAUAUGUAUGGGGAUCCUUUAUGUGAACAAUCCACCCAGGGUAGAAUGGGGCUUUUGACAUCAGCUGAGACCCAGGCGGCCUUACAAUGAGAGGGCUGUUGGUCAAAGGAAGGACUGUUUAAUGAACUGAGAAUCUGAGGCCAGCUCUGGCCAUCUGCACUUGGAAUCAUUAGAGCAACUCUACUGUAACUGGCAACCUUGAAUAAUGCAGCAAAUUCAUAUUCCAAAAUUGUGAACUUUAAAAUUUUGUGUUUGUGUCUAUGAUGAAAAGCAUUAUAUAAACAUUUGAUACUACAAUUUUAUUAGUAAGGAAGGCUGAAAAAGUAUCUCUCUUUUGACUCUGAGGUCAAUAAUGAUAAUGGCUUUUCCCCUACACUGGGAUAGAAAUGUUCUGUCAAGGAUAUGAAAACACUUUAUGAAAAUGAAAUUCAUUAAAGCCCUUAAUAAUCAGGUAGGGAAGGCAGGUGCUCACAAUUGUCACCUGUUGGUGAGUGAACACCUUAGGCUCGGGGAGGACAAUGACUCAAGAACAAGGUCGAAUUGCAGGUGGGGGGUGAAGCUGAUCCCUAACAGUGUCCUCCAGCCCCUGGCACUGAGGAAGGACAUGGAGGGCUUGCAUCGACUUUUCCUGGCAGGCUUGUGAUUCCCAGCCAGAAUGCAGGUGGCAAUGUUGUGAUUCCUGGCGUAACCUUCAAUGCUUCAAUGAUAAUCUCUGCUGGUGCCAGGCACCAGCUGAGUGUCACUGUGCAGCUCCCAGGCUUAAGUGAUGCAUGCCGAGGUUUUCAGAGCAGUCUCUCAUUUAUUAGUUGUGUUGGAAAGAAAUCUGUACUACCUAACUGGGUACCUCUGGAUUUUAACAGCUGUGGUUUAUAAGAGAUAUGAGAGGGGGUUUGUUUUCAAAGUGCCUUUCACAAAGUAACACCUUAGACUGUAGUUUACAUUCCAUUCCAGUAGGAUAACUUGCAACACUUCUGUGCUCAGAAAUCCAACUGUGCAAGAAAAGUCAGGUUAUAUUUUCAUACAGCCCGUUCUGGCAAAUAUGCCUUCACACCACUUUCCCUCCUCCUCACCGCUAUUGGCAAUAGUCCCAAUGGAAGAGUUUUAUGUCAAAUGCUGAGUAUCUUGGAAGCUGUCCUGCACAGACACGACUGCUUGGCUGCGUGUUGGAGAGUCGCGGUUGGACUGGGAGACCAGGAAGGUCCCUUCUGGUCUGAGAUGUGAUGACUCUAGAACUAAUUAGUUUCAACUCAUAACACGAAAUGAUACUAGCUACCAUUUGGUGGGCUUUUUCUGUGUUCCAGGCUCUGUGCUAAGAUCUUAGCAUUACUCUAAUUACAAAAUCCCUGCCAAUAUUAUCCUCAGUUUACGCAAGAACAAAUGGGUUUAGGGAAAUCAAAAACUUGUCCAAUGACACAGAUUUAAGAUUUAGCAACUGAUGGCCACGUGGAAAUGGAUUACAGAUUAUUCUAAUUGGACACUCUAAACGUGCAAUUUAACCAGAAUGAAAUUUAGGGCUGCGUGCUGUGGCUCAUGCCUGUAAUCCUAGCACUUUGGGAAGCCAGGUGUAUCCCUUAAGCCCAGGAGUUUGAGAGCAACUUGGGCAACAUGGUGAAACCUGUAUCUACAAAAAAUACAAAAAUUAGCCAGGUGAGGUGGUGUAUGCCUGUAGUUCCAGCUACUUGGGAGGCUGAGAGAUGGGAGGAUUGGUUGAGCCUAGGAGGUCGAGGCUGCUGUGAGCUGUGAUGGUUCCACUGCACUCCAGCCUGGGCGACAGAGACAGACUCCAUCUCAAAAAAAAAAAAAAAAAAAGUAGCUACCUUGUGGUUGCACUCGUCUGAGACUAGCUCAUGGCUCCAGCUCUCAGGGUGGUGAGUAAUGAUUCUGUGGUCAGACGCAGUUUUGAAGUCAGGCAAGAAAACCUUCAACAAGAGUUAGAGAUGUCCUGUCUAUGAAUUUCUCCUCUAGGCUUAGGGAUAGCCCUGGGAUUCAUGUCAUGCCAGUUAGGGAUCCACUCAUUGUAAGCAAUACAAGUGCCCCCGAAGAGACAGUGCAUUAAUUGUCACCCCUUAGGAGCAUUGUGUGAAUUAGUGUGAUUUAGCACAUGCCCAGAGGGAUGAAACUCUAGCUCCAUAGGGUAGGUCCUGAUUACUCCUGGAGCAGGCAGCCAGCUCAGCUCAUGGGGAGCUCUGAGAAGUCUCUCAAUGCCUCGCAUGCAGCCCCUGCUCAGGAGUCAUGUGUCACUUCACAGUCUUGCUUUCCAGUGGGUCAAAGCAUGAUGUUUAUGAGAAACAAAUACACAAAAUUCUGACUUGUGUGAAUACAGAACACGUGCAAUAAAACGACUGCAAUCUAUUUUUAAAAUGUGGUCUGAGAAGUCAGGUUUAAUAUGACUAUGUAAUAUAUAAACAAUAUAUUUUCCACAGAAAGGAAAAUAUAAAUAAUAAAAUAUGUCUAUUUCUUUUUUUUGGUGGAAAAUUACUCCCACAAUUUGGUCCCAAGGGGGUCUUAAUUUGUCAUCAGGUCUGUGGCUAAAUGUCUUAUAAAGGAAUGCUUCUUUCUUUCGAGAAGUGUACAGGAACAGUCUGCACUGACUGCUUUUACCUGUAAAUGUUUUGAGAAUUCAGAAGUCACUUUCCUUCCACAAUAGGUGCUAGGCAUUUUAUUUAAAUAAAGCAAAAACAUUUCUGUCAUAAAGAAGGUGUUAAUAACCUCAAAGCUAUGCGAAAUAUACUAGUACAAUCUAAUACUCAUGGUGAAAAAUACAGUAAUUAAG